ACUUAAAUAAUUUAAAUAAAAUAUUGAUUUGUGGUAUCAAAAAUGUGAUUAUAUUCAUUUUAGGUU
rnacentral:tRNA from 6 species